GACGUAGGGCGCGAGCGUUGUCCGGAUUUAUUGGGCGUAAAGAGCUCGUAGGCGGCUUGUCGCGUCGACUGUGAAAUCCCGCGGCUCAACUGCGGGUCUGCAGUCGAUACGGGCAGGCUAGAGUUCGGUAGGGGAGACUGGAAUUCCUGGUGUAGCGGUGAAAUGCGCAGAUAUCAGGAGGAACACCGAUGGCGAAGGCAGGUCUCUGGGCCUGUUCUGACGCUGAGGAGCGAAAGCGUGGGGAGCGAACAGG
rnacentral:rRNA from 1 species